UGAACUAGAACUGCUUUGUGAAUUAGGUAGUUUCAUGUUGUUGGGCUUCUAGUUUUUUAAACACAAGAACAUAAAACUACCUGAUUUACGCCAGUUA
ensembl:miRNA